UACGAAGGGGGCUAGCGUUGCUCGGAAUCACUGGGCGUAAAAGGGUGCGUAGGCGGGGUCUUUAAGUCAGGGGUGAAAUCCUGGAGCUCAACUCCAGAACUGCCUUUGAUACUGAGGAUCUUGAGUUCGGGAGAGGUGAGUGGAACUGGCGAGUGUAGAGGUGAAAUUCGUAGAUAUUCGCAAGAACACCAGUGGCGAAGGCGGCUCACUGGCCCGAUACUGACGCUGAGGCACGAAGCGUGGGAGCAA
rnacentral:rRNA from 1 species